rnacentral:tRNA from 1 species
GCUCUCUAUAUGGUAGAGCAUGGUGUUUGCAACACCAGGGUUGUGGGUUCGAUUCCCAC